GACAAAGUGGCUUAGGGGGCAGCAUGUUUGCCUCGCAACUCCACGGUUGAGGGUUCGAUUCCCACCUUUGCCC